AGAGGGUCCAAGCGUUAAUCGGAAUUACUGGGCGUAAAGCGCGCGUAGGCGGUAUGCUAAGUUGGGUGUGAAAUCCCCGGGCUUAACCUGGGAACUGCAUUCAAAACUUGCAUACUGGAGUACGGAAGAGGCGAGUAGAAUUCAUGGUGUAGCCGUGAAUGCGUAGAUAUCAUGAGGAAUACCAAUGGCGAAGGCAACUCGCUGGUCGAAACUGACGCUGAGGUGCG
rnacentral:rRNA from 1 species